rnacentral:lncRNA from 1 species
GUGCAGCUGUUUUCUGGGCUCUGAUCUCUAAAAUUUAUAACUUUACAACCCUAUCUUCAAAAUAAAAAAAGCAGAGAUUGCCACCUCCGCUCGAAAAGUCACCUGCACCCAUCCGUAUGGAGAGAGACGUAUACACCAUCCGUCCAAUGGAGUAUGGAUCUUCAGGGUCCCCCUUUGUCCUCUCCAAAUAGGCUGAGACACAAGACCAGAGGAAGAAAUCCUGAGUGCUCCCUGGACAUGCCGUGGUGUGGUCCUCUGGUUUGUUUCCUGUUUUGGCAUCUGAGCAGAGACGGGAAGGGCCACUUGAGUGCCGAUGAUCGGGCCUCUCCCCUGACUGUGGUGCUUCCCGCACUGAAACAGAGGAACAUGCUCCAAGUGGAUUGGCUUCACAGAGGUGGCUGCCCACAGCUCAGAAGAGAUGCUUCCCCACAGUCUUCAUUUUGCCCAACGGGCUCCAUGGAAAGUAGAUAUCAUUUCUAUUUCAGGUUUUCCUCAUCACCUCUAGACAUUGCCAACAGCAAGAGUUCUAAGUGGGUUGAGCAAGAGAUCUCACACCAUUGCUUCUAGGCAGAAGCUGAAGGAAUGACAGUAGCAUCCCUUUCAACAGUGGGAGGUGUUGGAGGGACUUUCCUGGCUGAGGAAACCACACUCCAUCUACUUACACACCUGAAGGGACUAUGGUGCUGAGCCUCUUCCUCCUCUGUCCCUUGGUCCAUGUGGAUCCCCUGCUUGGAUGCCUUCUGCCUAUUUCUGAAGCUUUCCCCUUCUUCAGAGCACCCCUGGAGUCUCACCUCCUCUAUAAACUUGCCCUGAAACAACAGCCAACAGUGACGCCUUUCA